GUGGUUCAACUGAUUUGAAGAGCUUGCUCAGAUAUGACGAUGGACAUUGCAAAGAGUGGCGAACGGGUGAGUAACACGUGGGAAACCUACCUCUUAGCAGGGGAUAACAUUUGGAAACAGAUGCUAAUACCGUAUAACAAUAGCAACCGCAUGGUUGCUACUUAAAAGAUGGUUCUGCUAUCACUAAGAGAUGGUCCCGCGGUGCAUUAGUUAGUUGGUGAGGUAAUGGCUCACCAAGACGAUGAUGCAUAGCCGAGUUGAGAGACUGAUCGGCCACAAUGGGACUGAGACACGGCCCAUACUCCUACGGGAGGCAGCAGUAGGGAAUCUUCCACAAUGGGCGAAAGCCUGAUGGAGCAACGCCGCGUGUGUGAUGAAGGGUUUCGGCUCGUAAAACACUGUUGUAAGAGAAGAAUGACAUUGAGAGUAACUGUUCAAUGUGUGACGGUAUCUUACCAGAAAGGAACGGCUAAAUACGUG
rnacentral:rRNA from 1 species